rnacentral:rRNA from 1 species
UACGGAGGAUCCGAGCGUUAUCCGGAUUUAUUGGGUUUAAAGGGAGCGUAGGCGGGUUGUUAAGUCAGUUGUGAAAGUUUGCGGCUCAACCGUAAAAUUGCAGUUGAUACUGGCAUCCUUGAGUACAGUAGAGGUAGGCGGAAUUCGUGGUGUAGCGGUGAAAUGCUUAGAUAUCACGAAGAACUCCGAUUGCGAAGGCAGCCUGCUGGACUGUAACUGACGCUGAGGCUCGAAAGUGUGGGUAUCAAACAGG